CCCUCCAGAGAUUUUUAUCUUCAGGGUCUGAUCAGGAUCCUGAUAAACUGGCCUUUCCUUUCCACACUUAGCUUCUGCAACCUGGGGGGGCUCUGCCUGCAAGAGUACCCCAGGGUCUCUGUUCUCAGAGGGUCUCAGAAACUAAAGUCCUACCCUAGUCUUUUGGAAUUAACUAUUUUGGGGGAAAGCAGGAAGAGUGUAGAAAAUGGUUUAAAGAGUUCAGUUCAGACCCUUCAGAGGUUACCCAUUUGCUUCCUCCACUUAUAAAUUCCCUAUUUUUUUGUCUCUUUUCCAAGCUCAUAUGUUCCACUCUCCCAGGUAAAAAUGGCCAAGAAGAAUCAAAAAGUGGAGGAAGACACAAGCCUAAGUGGCCAAGACAGGUGUCAAGAGGAUGGUGCCAGACCCUUUUAAGUGCCCAGACACAAGACAAGGAGUAAUGGCCAUAAACCAACACUCAAGAUAUUUCACCUCAUCAGGAGGAAUCUCUUUCCAUUGAGUGUGGCAGAGUACUGGAACAAGUGCCCAGGGAAAUCAUGGAGUCUCUCUCUCUAGAGAUGUGCAAAACUCAUUUGGAUGCAUUCCUGUGUAACCUACUCUAGCAGACCCCGCCUUGGCAGGGGGGUUGGAGUAGAUGAUCUCUAGAGAUCCUUUACAACCCCAACAAUUCUGUAAUUCCAUGAAGGAAAGAUUUAAUGGUUCUGCUUUGUGAAAUUGUGCCUUUGGUGCCUCCAGGGAAGCAGCUGGUCAUCUGUUGGUAAUAAAGAUAACAACUCAAUUCUUUUAUUUUCUUUUCACUGACACCAGGGAAAAUGUCAGCCAUUCCUCUGUUGCUGUGAUACAGAAACUUAUCUGUGGUGGCAGACAGAGCCAGACAUAAAAAAAAAAUCCCACCCAAAAAAAUAAUUCUGUUACCAAAGUAAACAAAAAAUUACAUGCUGAAGGCAGAUUUCCAUUUCCCUUCCCUUUGAAAGCCCGGAUUUCUUUUCUAAUGCUCUGCAGGCAAACUUAAUGCACUUAGAUAGAUAUUGUCAAACUCCAGCUUCUCCAAACAAAAAAACCACCCAGUCUACUGGAUGAGUAGGCGGCACUGUGGUGUAUUUCAAUUCCUGUUGAUCCUUUAAUCUGGCUGUAGAGCACAGCAGGAAAAGGUAGAUGUGGGAGAGAAACAGAGGGGUUAUCUGAGGGGCAAGGCCUUCCAAAGGAGGCUCUGUCUGAAAUGAAUCCUGGUGGUACUAAUUGCUGAUUUAUUUGUGGUACAAAUUCCUUCCAGUGCAGCAAACAUUCCUCACAGAGUAAUCCUCCCCAACACACAGUCGAUAAUUUUGUAAACUCAGACUGAGCAGUACAUACAGCACAUUCUCUUCCAGAAACAAUUAAACAAGUAACAGCUUCUUCUUCCACAUGAUACUGUGACACAUAUUGUGUCACAUUGUCCUUUUAUGCUAAUCUCAAACUUCAGCUGAUGCAGUAAGAGUGCCUCAAAUGGUGUUUACAGUAGAACCACACCGCUUGGAGGCUUUCUGCCUUAAAUUAUUUUAUUGCUCCUCAGACCACAUCACAUGACUGGAACAAAAAUGUGCUUCAAAAGUAUUCUUCUUCUUCAUUUGUCAUAGGUCAGAAUAUUCCUCAGUGAAAAACCUGAAUAAGAUAUCUGAGAAAUAAGUGAAGACGCUCUGGGACAGCAUCAUGCUCUGCCUUUCCCUUUGGAUUUUGCACUGUGCAUGCAAUGUCCUGGCUCAGUCCCUUCCUUACCUACCCCCAUCCUGCUUGCUGACAGGACAAUGUGAGCAGCAAUAAAAGGCAUCAACACUUUGCAAGUGCUGUUCAGCAAUAACUAACCCAUCCCUGUGUUAGCAAGACUGUUCUGGUCAUAAAUGAAAAGCAGCACCACAGGAGCUCUAUGAAGAAAAGUAAUUCCAUCACAGCCAGAAGCAGUAUAGUGGGAUGCCAGAAUGCAGUACAAAUUAUCAGUGUGAUUUGUAGAAAAGGUGUCAUAUUAAAGGGGUGAGAUCUUUUGGUAAAUGAUACACUGAAAUACCUCUUAUAAGUGUGUUAGUGGGUGCCUUGAAAGUUUAUUAUAUUUUUUUACCCAAAAAUUCGUUUAAAUAUCUCCUUCAAAAGACUUCCUUAAUCCUUAAACAGUCAACUAUGCUGACCUGGAUUAAUUUACAAGUCAAAUUUUACUACAGUUGCUUUCCCAGCUCCUGUUACUGUGCUAUUGUACCUUUUAAUUUGACACUGGUUUGCAGGAAUUUUCUUGAAUUUGAAAGGAGAAGAACACAAUUGAAAAAGCAGCUAAAUUUUUUCCGUAUUUUAACCCUAUCUUUCAAAAAUAAAAAAUCCUGUGUGCCUCACAA